AUUCUGCAGGUUGAUUGGCUCUGCCUUGCCUUCUAUUGGCCAACGAUGAUGAGCCGUCUUUAGGUUCCAGAACUUUCUGCGAACUUUUUCACCAGCUAUCCAUCCUGUGUCAGAGAGACUCGCCAAAUAUUCCAGAUUCUUCACUGCACUUUGCAUCUUGAGAGACUCGCCAGAUAUUCCAGAUUCUUCACUGCACUUUGCAUCUUGGUUUCCUGUGAAAAAUAAAACAACUACUUCUGUUGUUUUAUUUUUCAGUGUUCUCCAUUUUUACAGGGAUAACGUUUCUUUUGUUUUAAUAAACUUAGCAUUUUGUAAUUUAUAUAUUCUUUUUUUGUUUUGUUUUUUUUCUGCAUUUUUUAUAUAAUUUUUUUUUGUUCCUUAAAAAAAAAAAAAAAAACUUUCAAUAUUACACACUGUACUGUCUUCUAUAGUUGCUAACCUCUGUUUUCUUUCAGAUACUACAGGUUUCAUCUUCUCAGGUUCUGCAGUGCUUUGCAUCAGGGGAAGUUUUAAAAGAGACUCGUCAGAUAUUCCAGAUUCUUCAGAUACUACUGGUUUUCAUCUUGUCAGGUUCUGCAGUGCUUUCAUCGGGGGAAGUUUUAAACAUGCCACGAAAAGGGAAGAGAUCUCAGGCUCAGAAAUUGCGCUGGAAAAAGAUAGACCUUCAAGAUGUAAAUACCAGCCUUUCCUGCAUUAAAGAGGUUGAACAAACGAGUACCAGUGCUGCUGUAGGCCAGUCUCCUGUUAGACAAUAUGAGGAAAGUGGGGGUAAUGAACCCAAAGUUGUGUCAGUCCGGGCGUCUCAUUCUCAGGCUGAUGUUCGAUAUGAUGAAUUCUCAAGGAAUCACCAGUGUACCUGUG
rnacentral:lncRNA from 8 species